GGAGGCUGAGUCCGCCUGUAUUGCUGGCCUUGUCUGCGUUUUUGGGCAUGCAAGAGUUUGCUUUUAGAGGACACGACAAGAUGGAAAGUUCCGCCGACAAGGGCAACUACAAGGAGCUUGCAGAGCUAAGUCCCUUCCAGUUCCCUGACUAAGAGGUGAUGACUACUCCACUACCUUUGGCAACUUUCCUGACAUGAACUGAAGCAACGUCUCACGUGCCCACUCAUCCACUGGCACAUUGAAUGUUUCCGCUACAAGCAUUUCAAAUCAUGCCUCAUACCCUCAUUCCAAUCACUGCUGUGAUCCCUUUCC